UACGAAGGGGGCUAGCGUUGUUCGGAAUUACUGGGCGUAAAGCGUAUGCAGGCGGACUUUUAAGUCGGGGGUGAAAUCCCGAGGCUCAACCUCGGAACUGCCUUCGAUACUGAAAGUCUUGAGUCCGGGAGAGGUGAGUGGAACUGCGAGUGUAGAGGUGAAAUUCGUAGAUAUUCGCAAGAACACCAGUGGCGAAGGCGGCUCACUGGCCCGGUACUGACGCUGAGAUACGGAAGCGUGGGGAGCGGACAGG
rnacentral:rRNA from 1 species